CCUGGGGCAACCCCGGAGAGUCUGUGCACUGAGGCCCUGGCCUGGCCCCGGGGGGACAGGGUGGGCCCUGGGGGGAUGGGGAGGGGGUGGGGCUGGCCCCGCCCGUGCUGCUGGCCAUCCUGCGGCUGGGGAGCUUCAGCCCUCCCCAGGCCCGGUUCAUCCGGUCUGCGCUUUUAAGAGUGACCAUUGGGCGGUUUUCCCACUGGAACACGGAAGGCGUUUGCUGCUAGAACACACAGCCAGCCUGACCCCAUGCCUGCCAGCCAGGCAAAGUCUGGGGUCUGCUUGUGGGGACGUUGCCUCUGCAUGGCCUGAGGGAAGGUUUUGGGAGGGUUCUCACUAAACGGGAACGGGAACAAGACCACUCCAGGCCCAGCCUUUGUGCCGCACGUCCUUAUUUCUGCUGCUCUGACGCUGCGUUUCACCUUGGCCCUGGGUUUUAGCAUCACCCGAGCAUGAAUUCUGGAGGCCCAGCAGCUGCCUUCCACCACCUGAGACGCCACCUGGCAGCCUGGGCAAGGCAGGGCCUGCAGGGCUAGGGCCGGCGACCUGGGGGCUGUUCCUGAGGCUCCCUCUGGGCAGGGCUGAGUCUGGAGCCACUUGUGCGUCUGAAGCUCCGUCUCCUUGGGCCUGUGGGCCCUGCCCACCUUCCUCCCUUGGCACUGCAGCCUUUGGGGCACAGGGUCCCCACCUCUGCCCCCCUUGCUGUGUGGUCUUCUGGCUUCUCCGCAUGGGUCCAGGCCACCGCUCCAUGGAUCUUCAGCCCUCCCUGGCCUGGGUUCCACUCGCUCUCCAGACGCAGCUUGGGCAAGGGGGUGUCUCCUGUGGUACCUGCCUGUUCCUCCGGGGCCACGGCAGCCUUGGGGUGGGCUGGAGUGACCCCCCACUUCCUGCUGCCAGACCGCCCCCCAUCUGGAGGCAGGUCAGAGACGUCUCAGGUUCCUGUGUGCUCCGAUCUGCCUGAUGGGAGCGUCGUGGUACCCCCAGCCCUGUCAGGAUUUGUGCUUCUUGAAGCCAUUGUGGGUAGUGGUUUCUGAACGCAGGUUUGAUAGAUCGUGUGUGCUUCCAGUAUAAUCUCCAGGGUCGUGUUUAAGAUGACGUAUUUAAAAUGUGCACACACACGUACUUACAGAUACCCAAAAAACCAAGACUUUGGGCUGGGCGCGGUGGCUCACGCCUGUAAUCCCAGCACUUUGGGAGGCCAGGGCAGGUGGAUCGCAAGGUUAGGGGUUCAAGACCAGCCUGGCCAAGAUGGUGAAACCCCGUCUCUACUAAAAAUGCAAAAAUUAGUCAGGCGUGGUGGUGGGUGCCUGUAAUCCCAGCUACUCAGGAAGCUGAGGCAGGAGAAUCACUUGAACCUGGGGGGCGGAGGUUGCAGUGAGCCAAGAUCGUGCCACUGCACUCCAGCCUGGGCAACAGAGUGAGACUCCAUGUAAACAAACAAACAAUCAAGACUUUGGUGGCAAAUGGUGACAUGAGCCUGAAACGUGACAGCCUAAACUUCAGCUCCUUUUCUCUGGGGACCUGCUAGUGCCACUGCCCUAGGUGAGGGAGGCGUAGAUGCUGCCUGGAAUCUGCCCUGGGACCCAAGCCUCAGCUCCACAUUAAACCAAAGGUCUCUAGGAUGUUUGAUAGGAAGUGACUCAAGAAUUCCCGAGUUGAUCUCGUAGCAGCCCUGCUUCUGGAAAGUCUUGUGUCUCGUGUACUUGCACACACGUGCACAGGCCGGCAUGCACAGUUGCCUCCAUGCACGCACACGCGCGCACACACACACACACAGCCAUGCACACACGGUUUCCACCUUGGAGCGACUGCCGGAAGCAUUUUUGAACAGUGACUUCCCUUUAGAAAAUACUACGUGGUUGUAGGUUCUGAACCAGUAAUGAGAUGUGAUAAAGCUUCAGAAACAGCUUUGCUAAUUAACACAGCAGGCUCCGAAGGGCGGAUUCUCUGAGAGUGUUUGCAUUCCUCUUCCUCCAGUUUUUACUGGAUUUGAAGACUGUUCCCUAACAAGGAUUGGAGGGUGAGGUGGGUGUAGAUGAUGAGGGCAGCGGGGGUGCGUUGGUGUUGACAGAUGGGGAGGAGCCUGAAAUGCGGAAUACAGACACCGUGGCUGUGGAAGAGCCUGAGCAGGUGUCUGUGCGGACCCCGACAGUGUGUGACCACCGUGGCUGAGUGAGGAUGGGAGACCAGGCAGGUGUGGCAUGGUGCCUGCAGCAGGUGAAGCUGAGGCUCAGGCUGCCCCGCAAGGAGAGGAUUUGAACUACGUCAGUCCUCACCCCUUGAGGCUGCCCCUGUCCAGCCAGGACAUGGGCUGGAUCCAGAAGCUGAGCUCUUACCCAAACUCUAGAGCAGGCUGUGUGGGUCCUCAGCCUCUGGGCAUGUGGCAUGUCUCCCCUGGGGCCACGUCUUCAUGACACUCAGAACCCCCCUCACCCACUGUGCCUUUCCUUAUGCCUUUGAUGAAGAGCAGGCCCAUGUGGUUCUGAGUGGAGUGAGUGCUGCACAGGACGCCUGGGUUAACAGGAAGCAAGCUCGGUGCAUGCAGGCUGGCCCAUGUGACAGGAGGGUUCAGCGGAGGCUCUGGAACAUUGCAAAGUGUGACCCACCUGAGAUGUGACUCACAUCACAGCAUACUCACGGGGCUGCCAAGCCAGCACCACGGUCUAAUUCCAGAACAUUUUCCGCACCCCAGGAAGCAACCCGGCGGCCACUGGCAGUCAUUCCCACCGCCCCAGCCUCCUCACCCCCGCCGCCACUCCUCCACUUCCCAUCUCCAUGGGCUUGCCUUUCAGGACACAUCACAUCAGUGGUGCCUGGUGACACGUGGCCUGGCGAUACGUGACCUUGUGCUUGGCUUCUUUCCCUGCACUUCGUAUUCUCAGGGUUCAUCCAUGCUGCAGAAGGGGUCAGCAUUUCUUUCCUUUUUGUGGUUGAAAAAUGUUACUUCCAUAGAUUUGUCACGUUUGCUCUUCCGUUCUUCAGCUGAGGGACAUUUGGUUGGUUAACGUUUACACUGUUACAUGCGAUGGACACUCAUGAAUGAGUUUUUAUGUGGACGUAGUUUUCCCUUCUACCUGGGGGUGGAAUCGCCGGUUGGAUGUGACCCUGUUUCAUAACUUGCAGAGCUGCCAGCCUGUUUUCCGUCCCCUCCCUGCUCCUGUCCCCUCCCUGCUGCCGUCCCCUCCCUGCUCCCAUCCCCUCCACUCCUGUCCCCUUCCUGCUCCUGUCCCCUCCCUGCUGCCAUCCCCUCCUGCUACUGUUCCCCUCCCUGCUCCUGUCCCCUCCCUGCUGCUGUCCCCUCCUGCUACUGUUCCCCUCCCGCUACUGUUCCCCUCCCUGCUCCUGUCCCCUCCCUGCUGCUGUCCCCUCCCUGCUGCUGUCCUCUCCCUGCUGCCUCCCCUCUGCUCCCGUCUCCUCACUGCUCCUGUCCCCUCUCUGCUCCCAUCCCCCCGUCCCCUUCCUGCUCCUGUCCCCUCCCUGCUGCCAUCUCCUCCUGCUACUGUUCCCCUCCCUGCUUCUGUCCCCUUCCUGCUCCAUUCCCUCCCUGCUGCUGUCCUCUCCCUGCUGCCUCCCCUUUGCUCCCAUCUCCUCACUGCUCCUAUCCCCUCUGCUGCCGUCCCCUACCUGGUCUUGUCCCCUCUCUGCUCCCGUCGCCUCCCUGCUCCUGUCUCCUCCCUGCUCCUGUCCCUUCCCUGCUGCGUCCCCUCCCCGCUCCCGUCCCCUCCCUGCUCCCGUCCCCUCCCCUCUAAAUGAUGUAGCUAGGGGGGUGGGGGGUGGCUGGGAUUCCAGUCCCCGUGCCAUGGUGGUGGAGCCAUCUUCUCUGACAGAGCGUCCCGGCAGCUGGAAUGUCCCCGCAGCCAGCAGAGCCCAGCCCAGUGAUGGCUCCGUGCCUGCAGCUGCCAUGCUGCAGAGCGCACCUGCGCAUCAGGGCCCCGGGGACGCUAACAGUGAGGGCGCCGGGCGGUGACCUGGGGACAGGGACAGGUGGUCCUGGGAUCAGGCUUCAGCUGCACGUCCUGCUGGCCCCCGUCUGACCAGGGCUGUGUCCCGGCUGGAACUCUGGAGCCCUCUGUCUUUGUUGGUGUGUGCAGGCCUGAGCUCUGCCACUGCGGAAUCCUCACGGGCGGUGGGCCAGCUGCCUGCUUCCUGGCCUGCCUGGCUCCCUGGGGUUCUGUGUGUUGGAGGCAUCAGCAGGGAAGGGGACAGAAAGAUGUCCAGGCCCCCACCGGCCCCUCAGGGCUAACCAGCCCCCUCCUAGGGUGGGCUCUGAAUGGGCCUGGGCUCUGCUUGUGGUUGGGGCCUCAGGAGUGGCUCCGACCCCCGAUUUCCCUCCAGACAGCAAAGCAGCCCAGGCUGUUCUAGGCUCUGCUCCUCCUUCCUGGGGGCUGGGCUCAGGCAUCACCUUCCCACUUGUCCCCACCUGAGGCUGUGGUGUGGGUGCUGCAGUGAGCCUCUCAGCCCUUCCCCUGCCACACCUGGCAGCCGGGGGCGUUCCAAGUUGCAGGCCACAUGGCUUUACCCGAUUUUACAGUGGGAGCUAAAAGCUGUCUUUCUAGGUCUGGGUUGCUUGCUUUGACUGUUUCACUGAAGAUAGUUUGAAAGUUGUUCACAGUUAACUUGUGUGGCCGCUCUGUGAGGAGGGACGUUGUCUGUCAAGGCAGCCAAAACAAACGUGCCCUGGCCUCCUCCGUCUACACUGGAACACGCCCAGCCAUAUGGGAAGCCCUGGGCAAAAUAGACACAGUCGGCAGAUUCUCCGGGGUGCCACGUUUCUCUUACACCUGUCUUUGGUCCUUUAUAUAGGAUUUGUGUGGUUCGUAUGGUCUCUUUUAGAAUGAGAGAAUGUUAAAUUACAGCUUAAACUUGCCUUAAAUUACAGCUUAGUUCAUUCAUGUGUGAUGCGAAAAAAAUGCUCAAAUUUAGAAGAGAGUGAACUAGAAAAAGUCUUGUGGUGAGAUGGUGGGGAAGCCUGGGGACUCUGGUGAGGUGGUGGGGAAGCCUGGGGACUCUGCUGUGAGAUGGUGGGGAAGCCUGGGGACUCUGGUGAGGUGGUGGGGAAGCCUGGGGACUCUGGUGAGAUGGUGGGGAAGCCUGGGGACUCUGGUGAGGUGGUGGGGAAGGUUGGGGACUCUGCUGUGAGAUGGUGGGGAAGCCUGGGGACUCUGGUGAGGUGGUGGGGAACGUUGGGGACUCUGCUGUGAGAUGGUGGGGAAGCCUGGGGACUCUGGUGAGGUGGUGGGGAACGUUGGGGACUCUGUUGUGAGAUGGUGGGGAAGCCUGGGGACUCUGGUGAGGUGGUGGGGAAGCCUGGGGACUCUGGUGAGGUGGUGGGGAAGCCUGGGGACUCUGGUGAGGUGGUGGGGAACGUUGGGGACUCUGCUGUGAGAUGGUGGGGAAGCCUGGGGACUCUGGUGAGGUGGUGGGGAAGCCUGGGGACUCUGGUGAGGUGGUGGGGAACGUUGGGGACUCUGCUGUGAGAUGGUGGGGAAGCCUGGGGACUCUGGUGAGGUGGUGGGGAAGCCUGGGGUCUCUGGUGAGGUGGUGGGGAACGUUGGGGACUCUGCUGUGAGAUGGUGGGGAAGCCUGGGGACUCUGGUGAGGUGGUGGGGAACGUUGGGGACUCUGCUGUGAGAUGGUGGGGAAGCCUGGGGACUCUGGUGAGGUGGUGGGGAAGCCUGGGGACUCUGGUGAGGUGGUGGGGAACGUUGGGGACUCUGCUGUGAGAUGGUGGGGAAGCCUGGGGACUCUGGUGAGGUGGUGGGGAAGCCUGGGGACUCUGGUGAGAUGGUGGGGAAGCCUGGGGUCUCUGGUGAGGUGGUGGGGAACGUUGGGGACUCUGCUGUGAGAUGGUGGGGAAGCCUGGGGACUCUGGUGAGGUGGUGGGGAAGCCUGGGGACUC